rnacentral:lncRNA from 1 species
GAGUGUUUGGUAUCAAUUUGGGGUGGUUUGGUAUAGGUUGGGUUUUGGCUCGAAUCUUCAAAUGAAGAUUCAAGAAGAUGUGGAAUGAUCCGAGCCAAGGGAGUGGUAGAUUUGGAUUCAGGGUGUGAAGGGGGUUCUGUGGUGUUAAGGAGGUGACCGUCGGCGUAGUUGCCGCUGGGUUUCUGGUGAAGGGAACUAAUGGCGGCUAGGGUUUUCAAAG